rnacentral:lncRNA from 1 species
GUCAACCAUCUCCCUCCUCUCUCUCUUUUUCUCCCCCAUUUCUCCCAAUUGCUUCCUCAAAGGAGGAUCUGUGUAUUAAAAAGGAGGAUCUGUGCAUUUUCUUCCUCAAAAGGAGGCAUUUUUUCUUGUUCCUCAAAGCAGAGAGAGCAUUGCAAAUUGGAAAUCACAUAUCAAAUUUCUACUAUAAUUUAUGUUUUACAACUCCAAAUUUGAUUUCGUUUAUUCCUACAAAUUUCUGGAGUAGUGCACUGCAACCCAAGGUAAAAGAUUUAUGGGUUUAUCACAGAUUUUGAUAUUUUCUGUAAUUGGAUUUAUAAGCUUUAAUCUUUGAAUUGAAUUGUUGUUUAUGGUGGAUUAAACUUAUUGCAAGCUUAACUGGACAAAUUCAUUGAUGAAGCAAAGAGGGGGUUGGGUUCGUGGGACAAAGAUCGGCGAGUUUCUGAUUUGAUGACUGGAGAAGGGGUUGUAGCUCAUGGACAAAAGAGAAGGCAAGAUUUUGUGACUGGGUUCACGGGAUGAUGGAGAUCGGUAUCGCAUGCUUGUAGACGACGCACGCACUAGAGAUGGGACUAGCAAUCCUCCAGUUUUUGGGGAGUCUCACUAAGAACAGCUAGUAAAGCUGUUAGUCCGUGCGAGUCCGACUUAGUGUCAUUAAACUUAAUCCUGGUGCAGACUAAACAAGGGACUAUAGUCUAGUCCAGUCCAAUCUUUCCUAAUCCGAUCAAACAAACGGGCCCUAUAUUAAUUACUAAAUAUAAUCUUUUAAACUAAAGUUAAUUGAUUCGG